UCUGUGUGCAGGCUGGAGGGAGCUGAAUGCAAGAGUAGUCACAGCUGGUAGAGGCUGUUCUUGCUGAACUUGCUCAGAAGCUUGUUUCCUCCCCAUAUCUUAUAUAUAUAAUAUAUAGAUAUAUAAGAAGCCUUAAACUUUUCUCUUGAUUGCUCUUUUUAUACCCCCUUAACCCCCAAACUCCCAUCCCAGAUCUUGCACCAGGGUGAGCACAGCUGGAAGGGGGGAUGUGGUUCAGUCAUUGGAGUUGCAUCUGUACCUGUGUGGUUCAGGACUGGUGCUGUAAGAUAGAGGGGAAACCCAGCCCACCCCCUGUACAAUGGUGGAGGCAAAGCUAUCAUUUCUCAGCUUCAGUGGGCCAACUGCAUCAGUUCUAAGGCCCCACUGGUUUGGUACUUACAGAGGCAGGACCACACGGGUUGCCUAUUAUUUAUGGCCCCGAUUCCCUGGCAGAUCCAUGUCCUUGAAGUGAAGGACAUAAUGAGGGAUUUCAGUCCCAAGCAGAGACUAUCCAAGCAGGUGGGAAAGUGACAGGCCAGCAUCCAGCCUUCACAGCACAGACCAAAGCAAAACCGUUUUAAUGGCCCUAAUCCCCUGGCAGGACGGAGAGAUGCAGAUUGGUGAAGCGAAAAAAGGGGAGAAAAUAGGAACCACAGAAAGUGUGUGCAUGUGAGAAUCCCUUUCAGGAUGCAUUAAUGGGAUGCAAUGAAUAGGAAGAAGAGACCCCGGAGUGUGUUUAAAACUGAUUCCUGGUAUAAUAUGAACCACUGUAAAUGAAGCGCUAUACAAAAGAAAUAAUAAAAAUGUAUCACUGUAGUCAGUAUCACUGGCUGUGUCAGUGUUUAACUGCAUCAGAGCUCAUCAUUAACUAAGAGGCAGAAUAACACGAGCAAACAAGACAGCAACUGAGAGGAAGAACGUAAAGACCAUGACAGGGCCCCAGCGAGGUUCCUCCUGCUGCCGCUCCAAAAAAUGGGGGCCCAGGAAGGAGAGAAAGCCCACCCUCCGUGCACAGCUCGGCAGAGACACCUCCAACGGCGGCGUGGGUAUAUGCUCACCUCCUCCGUCGCCAGCUCUCCUGCAACAAUUUGUCUGGAACAGCCAGUCGCCUCCGAGUGAGGAGUUUUAAUAAAUGAUCGUCAUGCGCAAGCCGUGCAUGUAUGUGAGAGAGGAUGGGGACGUGUAUUUUUAAACGCGAAAACUCCCACCAGCCGCAGUUUGAACACGGACUGUAUGAUCUUCAAGGGAAGGAGAAAAAUGUGCUGGUUUCCUCUAGAAUUGGAUCAUUUGCUUCAAAUUGGGCAGUCAAUCCAAGUUAUGGAAAAUGUGGUCCACAGCGGUUAGUAAUUUCAGGGUGGUAUUAAUUUUAGGAUGGCCUGUUAGAGGCCCUGUCCCAGGAGAAGUGAUUUGUGCUUUCUGGAGAUCAAACCACCUCUAGAUGCUUCAGGCUGGAUUGCCCCAAGUCCAGCAGCUGAAAACAUAAGCCUAUAUGAGGGUGUUUCCAACGGCUGAUUGUGAAUAAUUUGUGCAACCCUUGGGAGAAGGAGGGUGAAAUCCUCUCUCCACUAACGUUAAUGGUAGAUGUGCCACUGACUUCAGCAGGGUGAGGACUUCCCUGGGCUGCCUGACUCUGUCCCCUUGGCUGACUGUGAUCUCCAGCUAGGAUCUGAAGCCAUGCCAGGUCCAGAGCAGCGUACCCAGUCUCUCAAUGUAAUGACUCAGCACGGGAGGAUAUACAUGUGGUGGUGUGACCUUUAUGUUGAAGGCCAUGAUCUGCUUGCACAGAAGUCAGCGAUGGCGCACUACAGCAACCACGAGCUGAACCGCUGGUCCCCAGGGCUGAGCUUUGGGUACCCAACAGCCUCCACCGUGAGCCUUUGGCUCAGCAGUAUCACUGCAAGAGCAACUCGAGCUGCAUUUGAGGUUCCUGGUCUCUGAAUUUUUGAGGCAGUUGGGAAAGUAGGAAAGGAGAUGAAGAAAUACAUUCUACAGACCCCCGAGCCUCUCUGCUCCGGGCAGCCUUGCAAGGAGGAACUGGCAAGAAACUAUGUCACCUGGCUCUGUAUGACCUGGGUUUCUCAGUGCCCUGUGAAACAGACUUCAGAGCAUCCUGUCCCUUGUAGAUCCCCUGGAUCGGAGCUGCAAAUCGCUACAAACGUAGAGGAGCUGCCUGGCCUGCUUCUUGUGCUUACCCCUGCAUGGAGGUGAAGGGUGAACACGUCAGCUCUGCUGUAGGAAAUGUGAACUGUGGCUGCAUGCGGGUUGCAACCAGAUGAAGAGAUGAUUUUUCUUUUCUGUUGAUGUAAGUGAGUGACUGGAGUAGAAGGAAAAGAGCCACCUU